UUCUCCAGAAGGGUGGGGAUGGAGAGACAACCUGCUGUUGUCCUUGGAAGCAUUCCAGCCUGGUGACUGUGUGCUUGAGGGAAGCGGAAAUAAGAAGGCCGAUGGAGCAAGGGAGACAGGAGGAUAUACAAUACAGGCAGAGUGUUGCCAGGUUGCGCUCAAGAUGCUCUCGCUGCCGUGUGUACUCUUGAUGCAAGUCUGUGUCAACGCCAACAAUUUCCACCUGAUGGAGCAAAUGAAAUAUCCCGGAUGCUCUCCUUCAGUUUCUUGGGUUCCUGGAUGAGGCCUACACAGUUGUGAAGAUCUGUUUUAAAUCGCUUGACAAGUGCUUCCAUGUCUCGUUCCUGCAGUCAGAGGAACACCAAAGCUUGAUACAGCAGAAUACAUUGCCUGUUGGUGAGGCUUCCUUGCUCUGGCUCAAAUUACAUCUCACAAAUUGUCUGUGGUACAAAUACUGGCCAGAGGGUACCCAACCUAUCGGGACCCCGUUAAACAUUUCAAAUCCCACAGUACUUCUUCAUCACUUGAAUUUCCAGCUCUACAUAGCUUGCUAACCGACAGCUGACUGUAUAAGUUGUCUUCAGGAAAAAGCAGAGCAUUCAGUUUUAGGAGAUACAAAAUAAUGUGAAAGCCUGAAAUGAAAUUGUUGUUUUACAUAUGCAAGUCAUCAAGUCAUGGACAGGCUUGUGCAAAGUCACCUAUUAAAUUAUUAUAUUAGAGCAGCCCCAACACAUUUGUCAUUACCUUUGCUUUGAUGUGAAAUUUAAACACUAGAUUCAGUGGAAGAAAAUUUCAAUUACCAUUACAGAAUCAUAAAGAUGGAAGGAAACUUUAGAGCUCAUCUUAGUCUGUAUAUGACACCCUAAAGAAGGACCAGUUAUAAUUUGGUGUACCACUUUUUUCAGCUGCCAUUUGACACACCUUUUGCAUCUCUUUGUGCAUCUCCCGGUCUGUGGCUUUCAGUUUUAGCCGUAGCUCUGAUAUGUUCAGUUCCAGUUGUGUGUUCUGCUUGUGGAAACGUUCCAGCUCUCCUUCCAUCUGCACAGAUGCAUGAGACGAGAAGAGGUUUUAAAGGAGGCCUGUGGCCUGCUAUGGUUUUCAAGCUGGCCCAGCUUCAGGGCUGGGAGUGGGCUGCCUAAACUGCUUCUCACCUCCUGGAUCUGCUCCUUCAUAGCUUUGAUAUCAUUCUCACGCGGCUCUAUUUGCUUCUUCAACUCCUUUAUUUUAUAAUCUAGUACAAAUUUGAACUUCUCCAGUUCCUGGUUUUUUUUCUUUAGAUCGUAAAUUCGCUUCUCCUGGGACAAAUAAAAUAGAGACAUGAGGUGAGUGGGGAUCUCUUACAACUUCAGCCCUACAUCAGUGGAGUCAAGAGACAAUGUGUGGGAAGGUGGCAUAUGAGGAGGAAAAAGGAAAAGUGCCAGAAAUAUCAGAGAAGGGAUAAUGAAUUCUAAGAAUUCAGAGCCUUUGUAGAUUUGGACAGCAAAAUCCAGCUGGGGGUAGAGGGGUGGGAAAGGAGCAUAGAUCCAAGCACCUCACCUUGUCUUGAAUGGUCUCAUCUCUUUCUUGAAUCUCUCUCUUCAGCCCCUGGAUGUCCUUCUCUAAGGCUUUAAUGAUUCCUUGCAACUUUUGCUGCUCCACCUUCAUUGCCUCAAUGUCACUGCAGCGCUCUUCAAUCUCUUUCUGCAGACUGUUGAACUAGAGAAAAAAGCAUAAGGUAUCUUUCAGUCUGAAGCCAGUGUCUCACCCAGCAACAGCUCCAUGAGAACUGCUGACAAGAAUCAGUGAAAGCUACAUGGUGGGCAUCUCCAUAUCCCUGCACAGCUGAUGCCUUCAGGAAGCAGAGUUGAUCAUGGCCCAUCAACUGAUGGACAGUGAGUUCAAACCUGCAGGAUUGGCUGUGCAACCAAAUCUAAUGGGAAACUCGGUCAAACAGCUGAUCCUUGCAGAAAGGAGCUUUGCCAACCCUAUACUGGGUGCUUGGAAAAUGCUGAGCAUGCCAAGCACUUUACACAGAACUUCCCAAACACCUAAUAGGCAGCUGGAUAUUGGGAAGCACUGCAUAAGGGAGUUGGACAGGUGGGUGGGAUGACCCACCUGUCAAUCAUCUGACAAUUAAAGAAAAACAAGCAUGCAAGGGCCAUUUGUACAAUUAACAUAACAUUUAAUUUGGCCCUUUGCUAGCAUUCCAGCCUUUAGAUAAAACCUUGCAUUUUAGGAAAUAAUUUUACAUUAGAUGUAAAACAGAUUUUUGUUGACAUUUCUGUGACACUGUUUCAAUAGACAGUUGGGUAUUAAAAUUUGUGUUGCUUUUUAUAAUUUUAAUCUACUCUUAUUAUCUAUUUUAUUGUCAUUUUGUUAGCAGAGAAAGUGGUAUAUACAUCUUGAAAUAAAUGAUCACAAACCAGAAAUCUGAUAGCCUGAAACAGAUAAAUAUGCAGCCAUCCUCUGCAGAUGUUAGUAGGAACUGAUCAUCAGCUGUUAUGGACAUCUGUGGAGAAAAAAAAGGCAUACGGAACUCCAAUAAAACACAAUUGGAGAGUCAGAGAAAAGAAAGGGCAGUUGGCAGAAUCAGAAGAAGAUGCUCCGGGUGGAUUAAUAAGGAUCAAUUAUUUUAAAAAUAUAUCCAUCUCUUUGCCUCUAGUGAUAUCUCUUCUUCUCCACUUUCCCCAUUUUGCUCCAAGCAUUCCCCUUGCCAUUUGUCAGGCUACUGUCCAUUCCUCAGAAUCCAUUUAAUUAACAACUUGUCCUUGUUUUCAGUGGCUUUUCCAUUCGCUCUCAUUAUCAAUCUCAGUCUUAUCUUUUUAAUGAGGCACAGUAGCAGACUGAUUUUAAACAUGACACCAAGAAGCACAGUCACCCUCACGCCCUUGCUCUCAACAUUACUGGAACCUAUGGUGAAAGCAUAAGUGAUAAACAAGCCUUCUGGAUGAAAUAACAUUUUAAAAAUAGUACUGUACAGCAACAAUGCUGUAAAUGUUGCACUCCAGUGUCUGAGAAGCUAGCAACCCAGAGAGAUUUCCCCUACACUCUCCCAGCUACAUACACUCAGCUUGGAAGACUCCGAGAAUGAGGCUGAUGGGUGUACUGUUUAGGUAGAACUCAUUCUCAUUACUUUCCUCAUUACUGUGAUUAGAGACUCUGUUGUCUAUUGUCAUUCUUAUUAAGCUACUUUGAUACACAAUAAAUAUAUCAUAUUUAGAUAUGCCCAUUUGUGGCUCAUUGCGUGA